CGGUAGGAUCGAAUUUAGGAGGCAUGGUGAUGCGCUGGUUAAUUAAAUUACGUUACACGAUCCCGAUUAUGAUAGAUUCACAAACGAUGCGAACUCGCGGGGAUCGCGCUUAGGAAAGGCGGACCUUUGGGAGGCCGGAACAGCACACGUCUGAACUUCAGUCACCG
rnacentral:misc_RNA from 1 species